GACGAACGCUGGCGGCGUGCUUAACACAUGCAAGUCGAACGGAAAGGCCCUGCUUUUGUGGGGUGCUCGAGUGGCGAACGGGUGAGUAACACGUGAGUAACCUGCCCUUGACUUUGGGAUAACUUCAGGAAACUGGGGCUAAUACCGGAUAGGAGCUCCUGCUGCAUUGUGGGGGUUGGAAAGUUUCGGCGGUUGGGGAUGGACUCGCGGCUUAUCAGCUUGUUGGUGGGGUAGUGGCUUACCAAGGCUUUGACGGGUAGCCGGCCUGAGAGGGUGACCGGCCACAUUGGGACUGAGAUACGGCCCAGACUCCUACGGGAGGCAGCAGUGGGGAAUAUUGCACGAUGGGCGGAAGCCUGAUGCAGCAACGCCGCGUGCGGGAUGACGGCCUUCGGGUUGUAAACCGCUUUCGCCUGUGACGAAGAGUGAGUGACGGUAAUGGGUAAAGAAGCACCGGCUAACUACGUG
rnacentral:rRNA from 1 species